CUAUACUCUUACUAUGUAGCUAGAUGGCAUAUGCUAACCUUGUUCAAGAUUGAUCAUCAGUGGCUAGAGUACGUACUACUUUUGCAGAUGUUCAAUGCUUCAUAUAUAUCAAACAGAAAUGGAUUCUGUGUUGGGAACCUUGGAUGGAGAAAAAGCCAAGAAGAUGAGGACGCUCAUGAUUAAGACUGGAACAAAGCAAAGAGAAGGAAGAGUGGUGGCGGUGGCAAUGGUGGCAGAACAAGCGGCAGUACCAGAAGGAAGAAAGUAAAAACAACCAUGACCAUAAUUGAUGUUAGACUGAAAAACUUUAACAUCAAAAUCAUCGCCGGCUGCUGCUGAUAAUCAUCUCUCUGAAACCACAUAUACCAUCGUUGUUAGAACUCGUGCAUCCUUCUUCCUCUUCUUCUUCUUCUUCUUCU
rnacentral:misc_RNA from 1 species